AUGGCCAGCAAAUUUUUUAAUUUAAUUUUUAUUUUUUUAGUAGAGAUAAGGUUUUAUCAUGUUGACCAAGCUGGUCUUAAACUCCUGGCCUCAAGUGAUCUGCCUGCCUCAGCCUCCCGAAGCACUGUGAUUACAGACAUGAGCCACCAUGUUCGACCAAGUGCUGUAUCUUGCGUGAAGAUGUACUUGGUCCCUGCCUGUGGCUGGCUUGUCUACCUGGUAUACCCAGUCUGGACAUCGGAGGACAUACAGUUUCAAAAUCUUGGAUGGCUUACUCUCCUUGAGAACACUUCCUCAUGGAUUUUGAAUCUCCAGCUCGUUCCACUCCCAGGUGCAUCAUUUCCCACUUACCUCCCACAGUCACUACUUCCUACAUUGUCCAAAGUAUUCAGCUGUUUUGGGGAGAAUCAUGAUUAUUCUACUGAGACUGCAAAAAGAGGGAAGGACGCAGCUCUUAACAUCAGGUCUACCUUAUAA
rnacentral:lncRNA from 13 species